rnacentral:rRNA from 1 species
AACGAACGCUGGCGGCAUGCCUAACACAUGCCAGUCGAACGAGACCUUCGGGUCUAGUGGCGCACGGGUGCGUAACGCGUGGGAACCUGCCCUUAGGUUCGGAAUAACUCCCCGAAAGGGGUGCUAAUACCGGAUAAUGUCUUCGGACCAAAGAUUUAUCGCCUUUGGAUGGGCCCGCGUUGGAUUAGCUAGUUGGUAGGGUAAAAGCCUACCAAGGCGACGAUCCAUAGCUGGUCUGAGAGGAUGAUCAGCCACACUGGGACUGAGACACGGUCCAGACUCCUACGGGAGGCAGCAGUGGGGAAUAUUGGACAAUGGGCGAAAGCCUGAUCCAGCAAUGCCGCGUGAGUGAUGAAGGCCUUAGGGUUGUAAAGCUCUUUUACCCGGGAUGAUAAUGACAGUACCGGGAGAAUAAGCGCCGGCUAACUCCGUG